rnacentral:lncRNA from 1 species
CUGAUCCUCCUUGCUAACUUGAUCACUUGGGGGCCCCCUGCGUGCCUUGUUGUUGGUCUCCGCUGUAACGCCUCCCAGCAUUUUUUUUGUGAGCCAGGGGGGUAUUUCAUCACCCGUGGCAGCUACCCUGCGAAACCUGCCUUCCCCGGUAUUUCGGGGCACCCUCAUCGAGUGAACUUCUCAGUGGAUCGCUCAGGUUCCGCACCCA